AUCUCUUUGCCUUCUGGCUUAGAUCAAGUGUAGUAUCUGUUCUUUUCAGUGUAACAACUGAAAUUCCAUCAAUGAUGGUCUUUUAACUUAUUUUGUUACUUUUAUUUUUGGCCAUAUCGUAACUACCUUUUCCUUGGGCUUGCUCAAGGGGGUAGUCGCACAGUGUCGUUGCCAUUGCACACCCCGGCUUCUGACGCGAAUCUUU
rnacentral:snRNA from 1 species